rnacentral:tRNA from 1 species
UAGGUUUUAGUUUAUUAAGAAUUACUGAUUGUUAGUUAGUAGGUGUGGUUAACCACAAGCCUAG